rnacentral:rRNA from 1 species
UACGAAGGUGGCUAGCGUUGUCCGGAAUCACUGGGCGUACAGCGCACGUAGGCGGAUUUGUUAGUCAGGGGUGAAAUCCCGGAGCUCAACUCCGGAACUGCCUUUGAUACUGCAAGUCUCGAGUCCGAUAGAGGUGGGUGGAAUUCCUAGUGUAGAGGUGAAAUUCGUAGAUAUUAGGAAGAACACCAGUGGCGAAGGCGGCCCACUGGAUCGGUACUGACGCUGAGGUGAGAAAGCGUGGGGAGCAAACAGG